UACGUAGGGGGCAAGCGUUGUUCGGAAUUACUGGGCGUAAAGGGCGCGUAGGCGGCACGGCAAGUCGGGAGUGAAAGGCCUGGGCUCAACCGAGGAACUGCUUUCGAGACUGCCGAGCUAGAGUGCGGAAGGGGCAACUGGAAUUCCCAGUGUAGCGGUGAAAUGCGUAGAUAUUGGGAAGAACACCUGAGGCGAAGGCGGGUUGCUGGGCCGACACUGACGCUGAGGCGCGAAAGCGUGGGGAGCAAACAGG
rnacentral:rRNA from 1 species